rnacentral:misc_RNA from 1 species
UACGUAGGUGACAAGCGUUGUCCGGAAUUAUUGGGCGCAAAGCGCGCGCAGGCGGUCCUUUAAGUCUGAUGUGAAAGCCCACGGCUCAACCGUGGAGGGCCAUCGGACACUGGGGGACUUGAGUGUAGGAGAGGAAAGUGGAAUUCCACGUGUAGCGGUGAGAUGCGUAGAUAUGUGGAGGAACACCAGUGGCGAAGGCGACUUUCUGGCCUAUAACUGACGCUGAGGCGCGAAAGCGUGGGGAGCAAACAGG